AUUCAACAAGUAAAUGUCUCUGCGAGCAGUAUCCCUAUACGACUAAACUAUUCGAUUGUUUAGCUGUAGUUGUUUCGUUGAUAUACCGCACGACUCAUGAAAGGAAUACACGCAGCCUAGUAGACAUUUUCUCUAAUAUUAUGAUAUAUGUUAAUAUGCAUCAUGAUCAAACGCCAAAAUUUAGAACGAUGUUUGCUAUGGAUUCUUUUUCUACCAACCUUUGUAUGUACUUUGAGUACAAAACGUCCGAAUGUCGUAAUUUUUUACGCUGAUGAUUUGGGCUAUGGCGAUAUUGAGCCGUAUGGACAUCCAACUUCUUCUACGCCAAACCUUCGGCGACUAGCAUCAGACGGAUUGGUUCUAACACAAUUUUACUCUGCUGCCGCAGUGUGUAGUCCAUCAAGUACUGCACCUGUCCUAUCAAGGAUUGCCGCUUCAUCCAACUUAGAGGCAUCCAGCUUCCCCCAGCUUGAUAUACACCUUUACCUUCGGGGUGUUGAAUGAUCAAUGUCAGUUAUCAUCGAUUUGGUGUUCCAUUGGAUGGCUUGAUUGAUAGUGCAGCCUCAUAAAAGUCAUCUCUAAUUGUUGAAAUCAAACCAAUUUAGUACAAGUAUUCUGCGGAGGCAGUUCGGAUCGAAGUCAUCGUGUUUGUGUUCUUGAGAUAUGUCCGAUUCUCAUGUCACAGAUCCAUAGAGAAAACCUAAACUUUUGUCUUGAGAGAGAAUCUGCUGUCUAACCAGAUCUUGUUUCAGGUGUUAAAAUGCUCGAAGUGCACCUUUUCAAUACCGCAGUGAAUUGUGUAAUGUCUUCUAGGCCAUUUAUCGAACUUCUAAUAUUCACACAUCUUCAUAUCUUCAUAAGAUAGACUAUUUCAAAUUGAUAACGAAGAUAUCUUUCAGAGGAUGGUGGGUUCCUGGCAUGUUUGGCGUUCAUGUAGGUGAUUAUUAAUCCACUUAUUAUGAUCGGUAUUAAACCCAACAGCAUCCAAUAGCUUACCCAGCUCUGAUAGGCUGCAUGCGAGUCUGAGAUAUCACCAUCAAAGUCUAGGUCGAGAAUUUCUUCGAUUGUAGAGCCAGGAUUUCUCUUUCUAUGAGGAAAGCAGUUGCCUAAGUUAUGUUUGACUUGUCAACCGGUUUUGAUACCAGUGAACAUGUCAUUCUCCUUGGGAGACUGACAGUCUGUUUGGGAAUUGAUGAUUAUGCACUCCAAUGGCAUGUUUCCUCUUACCUUGCCAACAGAGCUGUAUGAAGCUGUAUUCAUCAUUGGCAUGCAGUCUCCUGUGACUAAGUCUGUCCUUUUCCCUUGUUCUUCAAACUGUACAUCACUCCUCUUGGCUCUGUAAUGUGACAACAUGGUCUUGGUAUACACUUCUAUGCUGAUGACAUCCAGCUGUAUACCUCACUUUUGAUCCAAAAGGUAAAUAUACAGAGGUUCGUGCAGCUGCUGUUGUUGGUGCUGCCAUUGAGGAUUCGAUGUUGGAUGAAUGUCAACUUCCUGGAGCUUAACAAUAAAAAGCGAAGUAUCUUGUUCUGUCAUCUCCAUAUAUGCGUAAUUAUUAUGACUACAACUCCAGUCUUAAUAGGUGAGGAAGCUAUAUAUCUCCAGUAUGCAAGGCUAGAUCUCUUGGCGUAGUCUUUGAUAGAACAAUGAGCGUGAAGAAACACACAUCACAUGUCUGCCAAUCUGCAUAUUACCUGCUCCACAGAAUUGCUGAGAUCAGACAUUGUCUUACAUGAGGUGGUGCAGAAAAUAUCAUCCAUGACCGGGUAACCUCUAGACUGGACUUCUGCAACUGUCUCCAUGCUGAUUUACCUUCAACAGGCAUCUCUAGCACUUUUUAACCAUAGAACACACUGUGAAAAUUUGUUCUGCAUUGGGCAGUGACUGGGCUGGAAACCUUGUUUUGCCCAUGUUUUAACCAUGGAGCUAAUCUGUGUUUAGCCCCAUGUUUUUAUCAUUUCCUCUUCUGUAUUCGAUAUCGUUUGUCAAAGAAUCUUCCAAGGCAAGGAUCGGAUAAAAGCUGUGGUUUUCAGUUAUCACUUUGAUGGUUGACUUGGGGAAAAUGUAUCGUUGCCAAAUAAAUAAAUAAAUCGGUAAUGACCAAAAAACUAGUAAGUGAUCCAGUAAUACAGACCUUUUGCAUUUAUUACAAAUUGUUCUUUGGUUAACUGCCAUGAUUGCAGUUCUGAUGGAGCUGAAUCAAAGAUAUAAUUUUGCUACAAGGAUAAUAACAAUGUACUGAUACUUAUAUCCGAUUGAUAAACUACACUGCGUGAAUCAUACGUUUAUUAUUUGAUCUGUUAUAAAACAUUUUAAUAUAUCUAUUUCAAUAAAUUUAAGUUCAGCAUGA